UGCUCAAGAUAGCCAUUCAUUCGCCUUGGA
rnacentral:piRNA from 1 species